CCCAAACUCCUACGGGAGGCAGCAGUGGGGAAUAUUGCACAAUGGGCGAAAGCCUGAUGCAGCGACGCCGCGUGAGGGAUGACGGCCUUCGGGUUGUAAACCUCUUUCAGUAGGGAAGAAGCGAAAGUGACGGUACCUGCAGAAGAAGCGCCGGCUAACUACGUGCCAGCAGCCGCGGUAAUACGUAGGGCGCAAGCGUUAUCCGGAAUUAUUGGGCGUAAAGAGCUCGUAGGCGGUUUGUCGCGUCUGCCGUGAAAGUCCGGGGCUCAACUCCGGAUCUGCGGUGGGUACGGGCAGGCUAGAGUGAUGUAGGGGAGACUGGAAUUCCUGGUGUAGCGGUGAAAUGGGCAGAUAUCAGGAGGAACACCGAUGGCGAAGGCAGGUCUCUGGGCAUUAACUGACGCUGAGGAGCGAAAGCAUGGGGAGCGAACAGGAUUAGAUACCCUGGUAGUCCAUGCCGUAAACGUUGGGCACUAGGUGUGGGGGACAUUCCACGUUUUCCGCGCCGUAGCUAACGCAUUAAGUGCCCCGCCUGGGGAGUACGGCCGCAAGGCUAAAACUCAAAGGAAUUGACGGGGGCCCGCACAAGCGGCGGAGCAUGCGGAUUAAUUCGAUGCAACGCGAAGAACCUUACCAAGGCUUGACAUGGGCCGGAUCGCCGCAGAGAUGUGGUUUCUCCUUUUGGGGCCGGUUCACAGGUGGUGCAUGGUUGUCGUCAGCUCGUGUCGUGAGAUGUUGGGUUAAGUCCCGCAACGAGCGCAACCCUCGUUCCAUGUUGCCAGCACGUAGUGGUGGGGACUCAUGGGAGACUUCCGGGUCAACUCGGAGGAAGGUGGGGACGACGUCAAAUCAUCAUGCCCCUUAUGUCUUGGGCUUCACGCAUGCUAAAAUGGCCGGGUA
rnacentral:rRNA from 1 species